CUGAUGGCCCUGAAGAUUGAAAUUCUCAGUUUAUCUACAGAACAAUUACAGUACAGCACAGGCAAUAAUCAUUCAAUAUACCCCAUCCCUGACCAGGAACAACCACUUCUAAGACAUGAAGAAGGCAAAAGUUUCAUUUCCAUUCAGUCCUUGCCCUAU
rnacentral:sRNA from 1 species